GGGCCUGUAGCUCAAUUGGGAGAGCGCCUGAUUUGCAUUCAGGAGGUCAGGGGUUCGAAUCCCCUCAGGUCCACCA
rnacentral:tRNA from 1 species